GUUGAUCAUGGCUCAGAACGAACGCUGGCGGCGCGUCUUAAGCAUGCAAGUCGAACGGCAAGAGGUAGCAAUACCUCCUAGAGUGGCGGACUGGUGAGUAACACGUGGGUGACAUACCCUUCAGAUGGGGAUAGCUAUUAGAAAUAGUAGAUAAUACCGAAUACGAGCACAGGGGUUAGAGAUCUGUGAGGAAAGGAGCUAAGGCUCCGCUGAAGGAAUGGCCUGCGGCCCAUUAGCUAGUUGGUGAGGUAAGAGCCCACCAAGGCGAUGAUGGGUAUCCGGCCUUAGAGGGUGAACGGACACAUUGGGACUGAGAUACGGCCCAGACUCCUACGGGAGGCAGCAGCUAAGAAUAUUCCGCAAUGGACGAAAGUCUGACGGAGCGACGCCGCGUGGAUGAAGAAGGCCGGAAGGUUGUAAAAUCCUUUUGAAACUGAAGAAUAAGCGUUGUAGGGAAUGACAGCGUGGUGACAGUAGGUUUUGAAUAAGCAACGGCUAAUUACGUGCCAGCAGCCGC
rnacentral:rRNA from 1 species